CAACUGCUUGUGGUGAGGCCUCAGGAAGCUUACAAUCAUAGAGGAAGGCAAGAGGAGCUGGCUUGUCACAUGGAGUGGAAUGUGGAGGUUUGAGAAGCAUCUACAGUUUGAAGCACAAUAUCAGCAAUAUUAUCAGCAGAAAAACAUCAACAGGAUUGUGAGAUGAAGUAUUUGUCUGCAAUCUGUAAUGCCUCAAGCCUUGCUACUCUUUCAAGCGUAGCCCUUGGACUAGCAGCACUGAUGUUACCAGAAGUUUUGAGAAAUUCAGCAUCCCCAGUUCUACCUCAGACCUACCAUAUUAGAAUUUGCAUCUUUAAUAAGAUUCCCAGGAAACAUAAUCACUGGUGCACCAUACGUCCCUCCUUGAGUGACCUUGAUGACACAGUGCAGAAACAUCUGUCAUUUGUAGCCGGAUCUGUUUGCUAUUGUAAUUUUACAAACUGCCAAUAAGCCUCGAGGGCCUGGAACCAGAGCUGUCUUGAGAUGAAUGUGACCUAUGAGAAGCAGGCUUUUCCAGUGGAAACACCUGGCUGGCCAUCAUCUUAACCAAGUGAUAAGAGUGAACAUCACCAGUAAUGAGACACAUCAUCAUCAUCUGUCUCCUGAUAUGAGGUACUAAGAAGAACAUAGCACACUUCUGUGUUAUUUCUGUCAAAAAUUCAAAAAUCACAAGAAAACAUCAAGCAAACACACAUGGAGAGACGUUUUACAAAGUAACUGACCUGUACUCUUCAAAAAUGUCAACUAUAUGAAAGAUAGAAGACUGAAGAAAUCCCCCAGAUAUUGAGGCAUAAUACAGGACCUUGGGCUCUAAGAUCGGAUUGUUUGCGAAUGAAUUGUGCUCUGCCACCCUGCAGUUGAAUAAUCUCGGGGAAGUUACUUAACAAUUCACUCAUAUUUAAAAUGGGAAUAAUGGCAAUACCUACUUCCCAGGGCUGUUAUGAGGUUCAAGUGAGAACCUCCAUGUAAAGGGUGAAACCCAGGGCCUGGUACAGAUGAAGGGCUCUGUAAGUAUUAGCCAAUAUGAACUUUUAUUACUGCAUGCUCAGUAAAUGUUUGUUGAAUGCAGAGAUGAUUAUUGUGAGGAUGGGAAACAAGUAAGUAGAGUGAGGCAGCUUCCUAAAGUCAGUCAGAGAAAGUAGCCAUAGGUUUUGGAGACUGAGGAGAAGGACAUUUGUGACAUGUUCAACUUAGUUUCUCAUUUAAGCAUUCAUUGCUAAGCAUUGUGACAGAUCCAGAAGUGGAAACCAUGCUUACCAUCUUUAAGGUGCUUUCAGCAAAGAUGGAGAAAGCAGACAAAAGCCCAGGAGACAUAGCAAAGAAUGUUAGGUAACAGUUAUGAGCGAACUGCUAAACUAUUUGGCUAAACCAUGAGGACUGCAAGAGUUCAGAAAACGUGCAUUGUGGUGCUCAUAACUACUUGCAUUGACCUGAUGAAUUGCACUUCCCAAAGACUGUUUAUGUUAUCUCACUUCAUCCUCCUAACUCUGAAGUAAGCAAGCAGGCAUUAUCAUCUCCAUUUUAGGACAAGCAAGCCAAGGCUCAGAGAAACAAGUGAUUUUCCCAAAGUUGGGAUGGGCACUUGGGUUACUCCUCUACCCUGCUCAGUCUCUAAGGACUGGAGGAGUGAAUCACGAAGGGUUACAGAGAGAGGGAAAUAGACAAAGUCAGAAAAGCAGUUAUACCCAGCGAUCACAGAUGGAUUUGCUACUCCUCCCUUAAAACCACUGUAUUCUAGAAAACCCUUAAAAGAGGCCUAGAAAAGAUAAAGUAAAAGAUCAAAGGAGAUAUUAGACAUUAAAGAGCAAAAAUAUGUUUGAAAGCCAAAAAUUAACCAGAAACAUGUAUGAUAAAUCACACCAUGAGAAUCGGGGGCUGUCUAUCAAACAGUAACUUGCACGGCUCAGGAAAUAGUAGAUACAGCCACACUUCUCCUGGAAGUCUGCCUGCACGCUGUGAGGUUUUGGCUCCGUAAAAAUAGUGAGAGCCAAGAUUAUCAAACACCUGAAGUGGCAAAGCACUUAUUUCUGCUUGAAAACAGUUUGGCCACGCCAAUUUGCCACACCUUCUAAGUCAUCUCUAAAAUAACUUAAAAAAAAUAAAAUCAAUGUUACCAACAUUACAUAUGACUCUUGUCAAACCGUCUUUGCUAUUUUGUAAAUUAAUAAAUAGCUCUUGAAAAAAAUGGCACUUGCAGCAAGAUAUACAUUUACCAUCUCAUUACUAGCAUGCCAUUUGCAUCUAAACCUACUUCCUUUACAGAACAUGGCAAAUAGCAGAAUAACACCAAAACUAGGUCCAAUUAUAUAAAGUGUCUUCAGCCUUCCCUCACUCUAACACACUUUUCUAUGACAUCCCACUGUCCAAAAAUACUAAUGUGCCUGUUCACCUACACAGAGCUUGAUUUAAUUAAAACUUCUAAGUUCUGGUUCCCAUUUUCUGAUCACCCUGUCUUCUGAGUGAUAGCACAUUAAAAUGAGCUAGAAUUCCUGCUGGCUGUUAUAAUUCAGAUAUGAGCCUCUUGAGAAACAAAUUAGUAGGGUAGAUGAUCUGCAAAGUUAUUUUUACUCCAAGGAGUUUGAUAUGUUAGGUGGUUUGUCUAGAUUUCUAGGUAUAAAUUUCUUGUUAAAAAUAGUUCCAGGGUUGUUCUCCUUGUGGUGGUCAAGAUCAUAGAAGAAAUUACUCGCAUCAUGAAUGGUGUCCUCUAUUGUUGUGUUUCUUCUCUAAU
rnacentral:lncRNA from 10 species